UGACCACCCACAGAUGUGGGGAAAGGCCAUACGGACAGCCGGGUCAACUGCCGA
rfam:Lachnospiraceae bacterium 9_1_43BFAA genomic scaffold supercont1.1, whole genome shotgun sequence.